AAGACCUUACUUCGUAGGAUCAUUUCUAUAGUAAGUUCUGCAACCUGAUCGAAUUUAUUUAAACCUAGAUUAAUAAAUCUUUGGC